rnacentral:rRNA from 1 species
AGUGGCGCACGGGUGAGUAAUUUAUAGAUAACGUACCUCUUAGUCUGGGAUAGCCAUUGGAAACGAUGAUUAAUACUAGAUACUCCUUCUCCUUCUAAUGGGAGUCGGGAAAGUUUUUUCGCUAAGAGAUCGGUCUAUAUCCCAUCAGUUAGUUGGUAGGGUAAUGGCCUACCAAGACAAUGACGGGUAGCGGGUUUGAGAGGAUGAUCCGCCACACUGGUACUGAGACACGGACCAG